rnacentral:rRNA from 1 species
AGACCCGAAACCCGGUGAUCUAGCCAUGGGCAGGUUGAAGGUUGGGUAACACUAACUGGAGGACCGAACCGACUAAUGUUGAAAAAUUAGCGGAUGACCUGUGGCUGGGGGUGAAAGGCCAAUCAAACCGGGAGAUAGCUGGUUCUCCCCGAAAGCUAUUUAGGUAGCGCCUCGUGAAUUCAUCUCCGGGGGUAGAGCACUGUUUCGGCUAGGGGGCCAUCCCGGCUUACCAACCCGAUGCAAACUGCGAAUACCGGAGAAUGUUAUCACGGGAGACACACGGCGGGUGCUAACGUCCGUCGUGAAGAGGGAAACAACCCAGACCGCCAGCUAAGGUCCCAAAGUCAUGGUUAAGUGGGAAACGAUGUGGGAAGGCCCAGACAGCCAGGAUGUUGGCUUAGAAGCAGCCAUCAUUUAAAGAAAGCGUAAUAGCUCACUGGUCGAGUCGGCCUGCGCGGAAGAUGUAACGGGGCUAAACCAUGCACCGAAGCUGCGGCAGCGAACGUAUCACCCAAGACAACUUUACGGAGUUGACGAUUGACGGAGCGAAGCGACGUCAAAGCGUUCAUUAAAGUCGAGUUGGCUUAGGGAUACGUUCGUUGGGUAGGGGAGCGUUCUGUAAGCCUGUGAAGGUGUGUCGUGAGGCAUGCUGGAGGUAUCAGAAGUGCGAAUGCUGACAUAAGUAACGAUAAAGCGGGUGAAAAGCCCGCUCGCCGGAAGACCAAGGGUUCCUGUCCAACGUUAAUCGGGGCAGGGUGAGUCGACCCCUAAGGCGAGGCCGAAAGGCGUAGUCGAUGGGAAACGGGUUAAUAUUCCCGUACUUGGUGUUACUGCGAAGGGGGGACGGAGAAGGCUAUGUUGGCCGGGCGACGGUUGUCCCGGUUUAAGCGUGUAGGUGUGUGUUCCAGGUAAAUCCGGUUCACUUUAACACUGAGGCGUGACGACGAGGCACUACGGUGCUGAAGCAACAAAUGCCCUGCUUCCAGGAAAAGCCUCUAAGCAUCAGGUAACACGAAAUCGUACCCCAAACCGACACAGGUGGUCAGGUAGAGAAUACCAAGGCGCUUGAGAGAACUCGGGUGAAGGAACUAGGCAAAAUGGUGCCGUAACUUCGGGAGAAGGCACGCUGACACGUAGGUGAA